rnacentral:ncRNA from 1 species
GUAGUCUGCCAUACGCAGGAAGACCCGCUGAACUGAAGCAUCUCAUUAAGCGGAGGAAAAGAAACUAACUAGGAUUCCCUUAGUAAAGGCGAUCGAAAAGGGAACAGCCCAACGUCUUAAUCCCGCAAGGGAAAUGUAGUCGGUUCACCUAUUGCACUGGUCUAAGUCAGAUGGAAUGCUGCGCGAUUCAGAGUAAAAGCCUCGUAUGACCAACCGCAAGCUUACGAUGGACCGGGGAGAGUCGGAUACUUUGAGAGUAGUGUCUUAAGGGGGUGGUAUGUCCCAUCCAAGGCUAAAUAACGUGAGGAGACCGAUAGAUUACAAGUAGUGUGAACGAAAGAUGAAAAGAACUCUAAAACAGAGGGUGAAAAGUUCCUGAACUUGCUUAGGGUUAAGGCUAUUUAUAGUACCCGUCUUGAAACACGGAUUAGGGAGUUUAUCUGUAGUGCGAGUCUUUGCACGUUAACUGUAAAGGCGUAGAGAAAGCAACUGGCGUUUGCAUGGCUACUGAGCAUUACUGAUAGGACCCGAAAGGUGGUGAACUUUGCCUGCACAGGUUGAAGUCAGGGGAAACUCUGAUGGAGGACCGUACGGGUUAUUGAUGUGCAAAUCAUUUUUCUGAUGUAGGUAAAGGUGCGAAAGACUCAUCGAACCACCUAAUAGCUGGUUUCCUCCGAAGUUUCCCUCAGGAUAGCUGUAAUGCAUUUAGUUAAGGGGAGUAGAGAUAUGGGUAGAGGUGCAGGGAGCCUUCGGGUUCUCAACUUAUUUCCAAACUUCGAACCUCCUUGUUAGGCAUUUACCUAACUGGAAAUGCUUAAAUGAAUUAGCGUUACAAGUGGGCUC